UUUCUGUUAUAAUUAUAAGCAAAAUUAACUUGUGUUAAAACAUAUUUUUGGGUAUUCGUGUAUCUUUCAUGCUCUGAAAUUUUGAAGGUUAAUUAAAAAUGGCAUGUUAGAGAAUAUUCAAGAAAAAUAACUACUCAACACCAGCUUUUUAAAUUUCAGUGAAGGUUUUGGUAAAGAGUAUUACUACAUACAAUAAAAGCAUUGAUGAAACUUUGAAAGUUUCUAUAAAAUAUAAAUUACUCAAUAUCUUAAAUCCAAAUUAGACAUGGAAGACCAGUAUUAAGGUUGGAUAUUUGUGUUUUAUAUUUGCUUUAAUGUUCAAAUGCAGAUAAAACAUUUAAUAUUUAUCAUGCUUUUACAACAGUAAAUCUUAAAGUACUAAGCUUUGUUCAUAUGUUCUUGAACUUUUUCACAUCACUACAAGAAAUUACUUGUUGUGUAUUAAAAAUUCCUUUAAAACCGGUCUAUUUUGUAAUUUCCUCACAAACAUUCUGUAAAGUAGACCUGAAAAUCUAUACCUUUUAUUAUUUUUAUGUUUUAAUUUGAAUAAUAAUGUGUUUAGUCUCCUGAAUUGCUACCACAUGAGUCCAGUGUGAUACCAGCACAUUCCCUUACCACUGAGAUAUUGUCUGCAGUGUAUUCUUGGAUAUUUAAAGCAUGUACUACAUUGUUACAGUUGGUUUAGUAUAGUUGAUUAUUGACAUCAUACCAUGAGAAUGCAUGAAAUCUUAUACCACAUUUACAAAACAUGACUUUGGUUGGUUUUUCUACCCUUCUAGGGUAUACAUCAAAAAUAAGAUGGUAGCUGUGUACAUAAAACCAAGAUUACAGCUGGGAAAAAACAAUAACAUCUUGGCCUUCAUGAUGGGCAAAAAAAUGCACUGGAGACAAGUAUGUUGGGGCAGCAGGGCUUGGAUAUUCAUUUUCUUAUAUGACAUUUUACCUUAUGUAUAAAAAUGUGCUUUAGCACUGCUGGUUGGCAUUUUUAAUGCAGGUGGUGAAUAUAUUUUCUAGAGGUAUGGCAUAAAGUAAAGGGAAUAAGAGCUUCUGUUUUCUAGCCUUUUAAGAAGUGUGUAUUAGAUAGUAACAGAGUCACGGCGGGGAGCUUAAGGAAAGAAAAGUGUGAGGCCCCUGAGAUGUUUUCAUCUUAUUUGAGUAUAUAGUAUUAAGAUGCCGAGACAUGGGACUCUGUUGUCCCCUUUCUUACAGGCACUUUACAUUUCUUGCUGUAACCACAGCAAGUAGAAACAGUACAGACAACCUCAAAAUCUGUUUAUAUUAGUGUAAAUAGAAAACUAUAGACAACUUUCUAAUUUGCAGGCAUUUUUUAGAAUGCAUCUGUACGCUGCUUUACUUUGUAUAUAAGGGAUAGCAGCACAUCAUAGACUGAACUUCGGGGUCUUUUCUCAACUGCCCAUUUGUAUCCUGGCAUCAGUCCCAUUUUUAAGGCUGAGUAAAGAUAAAGUUUCUUCCCAUGACUUGACUUUGGACUCUCCCAUUCUUCACAUAUAAUGUGGAGCUUCUUGCGAAAGGAUCGACUUUCAUGUAGCUUAGCUAUCCUCAUUCUCCUGUAUGUUCAUUCAUCAUUAGUGAACUUACUUUUUCUCUGUCCUAAAAAUAUGCUAAACUUUUUCUGUAACCUAUUCUCCAGCCACUACUUUCUGCAGAGCUUCUCUGGUUCCUAACUAUGCACCCAUCACAAGCUUGAUUUACUGGUUUGGACUUUGCUUAUUAGAGGGCAUUGCCAGAAGACUAGAUUGAGUUGAUCAGGAGACCAGAUUGUGGUAUAUACAGUGUACGCUGCCAGUAGUUAGUUGAAUCCUAUAAAUUAAUAAUGUCUUUAACAUUUUGAAGCUUCUUAAUUUUAACUUUAUAUUCUGAGAAGUGGAUUCAGAAGGAUAAAGGAAAUAUCUAAACUCUCCCAGCUACUUGAGCUACUUACUAAUUAGGCUUGGAGUUUGUUAUAUGUAUGUUACCUGCCCUUUACCAAGAAGGGUUGAUUUAGAGAUAAUAGUUCAGUCAGGUUAAGUUGGAAAAAAAAAAUGCCGAAUGGAAUCUGUGUGUGGUGUUUAUAACCUAAAGACUUCCUUAAUCCAUUGCUCUAUUCCAUUUUCCCCUUCAUAUUUACUGAAAGAACAAAUGCCAAUAUUAGAUUCUAAAGGAAUUAGUAAUAAGCUUAUUUUUUACAAAAUAAACCUAUUGAAAUAGGCUUUAAAAGACAUCAAAAUAAUCAGAUUCAUGCAUUGACUUUUUAGAUGCAGAUACAUUACAAAAAAUGUCUUUAAAGCUCCACUUAAAAGUAAAACUAUAUCAAAGAAUCUAUAAUAAUUUUAAGACCAUGAUAGUGGAGUAAUGAAAAGCUAGAAUUUAGCACUUUGCAUGCUAAAACCUGACUUCUUUGAUUUACCCUUAGAAUGAAUGGUGUGGUGAGGAUGUGAAGAAAUGUAACAGGAUGCUGUUGGAUUGCUUAUGCAGUAUUUUUUACACUUGUCCAGCCCUUGUGUAUUGUUCUAAAAACUAAAGCUUAAAAUUUUAUGUUAUUGCCUGCUAGAUGUGCUGAUCUCUGGUAGAAAAUUGCCAUAGUCUGUAUUCCAAGAAGUGCCUGAAAUUGAUUUGUGUUGAUUUUUAAGUCCAUC
rnacentral:lncRNA from 1 species